AUUUGCUGAGGGUUUACCCUCAGCAUUACCUUUGGUUGUAAACUACAGCUGUUGUUUAUAUAUAUAUUUAAAGUAGAUCUGUGUAAUAUUUGCAUUUGACCACCUCCAAGCAGUGAAAGAGAACAGAUGUGUCUAGGAGUCCGGAUUCUCAUCGGAACUUGGUUGUCUGCAGAGCCCUCCCCUGGCAAAUGACCUAGAUAACAAUAUGAUAAGAUCAUUAUGUGAAUGUAAAUCGUGUGCAUGGAUCAAACACACUGAACUCUCUGGAGGGAAUUUGAUGUUCUGAACUUCUAAGAAGAUUUAAGUGCAAU
rnacentral:lncRNA from 1 species